rnacentral:misc_RNA from 1 species
GAUAAUGCAAGAGAGAUUCAAAAGCCACCAGCGAUGGCGUCGAGGAAUCUUCAGCCGCUUGUUCCCUCAUGUCAUCGUGUCUCCAGAUCGUGCCACUCUUCCCUUUGUAAUUUGAAGGUGGGUUAACAAGUAGUGUCAGAUUUUAAGGAAAAAUGGGUCUGUAGCUAGUGUGGGUGCAGUCAUCGAAGGUGUUAAAUUGGCCAUUUAUUGAGUCUAGUUGCUUAAUUGUAAGAUUCCCAAAUCUGAUCUAUGUGAAUUUGAUCAAUUAUUGUAUUAUUACGCCUCAUAAUUCUUGCAUUUGGUUAAAUUA